UUCUCCUACGGGAGGCAGCAGUGAGGAAUAUUGGUCAAUGGAGGCAACUCUGAACCAGCCACGUCGCGUGAAGGAAGACGGCCCUACGGGUUGUAAACUUCUUUUGUAAGGGAAUAAAGUGCAGUACGUGUACUGUUUUGCAUGUACCUUA
rnacentral:rRNA from 1 species